UGAACUGGUUGGGAUGGACCUUAUUGGAAAACUUACUGAAACCAACAAUGGACAUCAAUACAUAUGUGUUUUUUUAUUGAUUAUUUUACAAAAUGGCCACAAGCAUACCCUUUAAAGUCAAAAUCAGCCGGGGAAGUGACAAACUGUCUCAUAAAAUUUGUCCACCAGUUCGAAGCCCCCAAAAGGAUUCUUACUGACCAAGGCAAAGAAUUUGUCAAUUCUCUCAACAAAAGGGUUUGCGGAUUGUUAAAAAUUAAAAGAAGCCUCUGCUCCCCCUAUCACCCACAAACAAAUGGGCUGGUGGAGAAAAUGAAUGGCACCAUCCAGAGAGCCCUGUGUAAAGUCGUUGGCGACCAACCAGAAAUGUGGGAUGAGUAUCUGGAUGCUGUAAUGUUUGGACUCAGAACUAAAAA